UCUUGUAUUGGAUGCACUCGCUGGUUCAUCGCAGGAGAAUACAUCGUCAACGAAAAUUGGCCGUCAGCAUGAAUUCCUACAUGGUACUUUUGUUAGCCUUCAGUGCAGCAUGCAUUGCCCUUCCAGCUCCCGAAGCCAGGCCACAGCCUGAAGCUUCUGCGCUCGCUGAAGCCUACCCCGAAGCAGCCCCUGGACCAUCUGCCUUUGCCUACCCUGAACCCAACGCUGAAGCUUCUCCCCUAGCGUACGCCGAAGCUUUUCCUGAAGCAGAAGCUCAGCGUCCCCAAAUUUUCGGCACUCUCUCUGUCAAUCGCAAUCGUGGAAAGAGAUAUCGGUCUCAUAAGCGAGCUGCCGCGAGAAGAGGAUAAACAAGAGCAACUAGCGCAUAAAGUGUGGUGACCGCAGUGCACGCUGGUCGAAACCUCUGUUUUAGUAGUCGCGGUUAGGUUUGAGUAGGCUGAAUUUGAGGGUUUAUGAGAGAUGGGAGCAUUACUUUCAAGUGUGUGACUUCCUUUGAGAAGACGUCACACGCUUAUCUCUGUGAGUGGAUGUAAGUUGUGAGUGGAUAAGAUACUGGAUAAGAUAAGUUGUGAGUGGAUAUAUCACUGUGAGUGGAUAAGAUAUUCCAUGUUUGAUAUUAUUUAUUGCAUUAUCCAUUAGGUAGGGGAGUGUUAAAGUGUUACAGUAUUCCUUGUUGGUUUCUCUUAUAAAGAGACUUAACUAUAGCAAA
rnacentral:lncRNA from 1 species